GGAUUGCCCUAGUAACGGCGAGUGAAGCGGCAACAGCUCAAAUUUGAAAUCUGGCCCUUUCAGGGUCCGAGUUGUAAUUUGUAGAGGGCGCUUUGGUGUUGGCUGCGGUCUAAGUUCCUUGGAACAGGACGUCACAGAGGGUGAGAAUCCCGUACGUGGUCGACAGUCUUCACCGUGUAAAGCCCCUUCGACGAGUCGAGUUGUUUGGGAAUGCAGCUCUAAAUGGGAGGUAAAUUUCUUCUAAAGCUAAAUAUUGGCCAGAGACCGAUAGCGCACAAGUAGAGUGAUCGAAAGAUGAAAAGCACUUUGGAAAGAGAGUCAAAAAGCACGUGAAAUUGUUGAAAGGGAAGCGCUUGCAAUCAGACUUGCCUGUAGUUGCUCAUCUGGACUCUUGUCCGGUGCACUCUUCUGCGGGCAGGCCAGCAUCAGUUCAGGCGGCUGGAUAAAGGCCUCUAUCACGUAUCUUCCUUCGGGAUGACCUUAUAGGGGAGGUGUAAUGCAGCCAGCCUGGAUUGAGGUCCGCGCAUCUGCUAGGAUGCUGGCGUAAUGAUUGUAAGCGGCCCGUCUUGAAACACGGACCAAGGAGUCUAACAUCUAUGCGAGUGUUUGGGUGUCAAGCCCGGACGCGCAAUGAAAGUGAACGGAGGUGGGAACCCUCACGGGUGCACCAUCGACCGAUCCUGAUGUCUUCGGAUGGAUUUGAGUAAGAGCAUAGCUGUUGGGACCCGAAAGAUGGUGAACUAUGCCUGAAUAGGGUGAAGCCAGAGGAAACUCUGGUGGAGGCUCGCAGCGGUUCUGACGUGCAAAUCGAUCGUCAAAUUUGGGCAUAGGGGCGAAAGACUAAUCGA
rnacentral:rRNA from 1 species